AAACACAUUCUGAAAACAUCAGAAGGUAAUCUGGGAUGCCACUUCUUAAGCAUCUGUUCCAGACACACAGACUACAUUAGAAACCUCUUAUUUAAUCCUCAGCAGUCAUGGUGAAGUUAUGAGACAAGGCUCACUACGUUAUCCCUGGCUGCAAAGGAAACUGAAGCCUAAAAACUCCUCAGAAAACUUCCUCUCCCAGCCCUGGGUAAAAAGACGAUGCACCUUCUUGCUGACCAAGACAUCCAGAUCACAGCAGAUUCGGGCACGGGUGGCAGAAGGUUGGAUGAUGUCAUCCACGAACCCUGGUGAAGCACAAAAGAAAAGCUGUCGUCCGCUGACCCCUCCACCCUGCAGUGUGCCCGGCCUGGGCGCCAUCCCUGAAGCUCCGAGUGUAAGCUGGUGCUAACCUAACAGAGAGGCUCUGAACGCUGCCCUCCAUCCCAUAGCAGUGACUGUUGGAAAAUCCUCAUCUCACCCACGAGUAUGUGGCAGGUAAACAAAUGUGACAGACACACCGAUGCUCUAAUGCAUCUCCCUG